UAGGUGAAUGUUUGUUGGAUAGAACGCUUAGCUGUUAACUAAGAGGUUGUGGGAUCGAGUCCCUCUCACCUAG
rnacentral:tRNA from 1 species